rnacentral:lncRNA from 1 species
ACCACGCCUCCCAUCGGGCCUGGGGGAGGAGGGUGGUGGCCGCCUCGCCUGCACUCUCCUGGGGCGGCCGGGCCCGUCGCUCGCCGCUGCCUUUUUGCGUGUGGAAGGCUGGAGAAAAAUGUCUCCCGUUCUGCUUCCUCCUGACCUCUAGGAGUGCUUUCCACUUUGAACCUGGUUUGGAGGGGGAGGUGAGCCCCUCUACCGAGCAGACUCCUUGUCUCUAGCUUCAAGGACUAAUAAAAGUCUCUAGCCCCUAAUAUUGCUGCCCUGGACUUAGUAGGAAGGAUAUAGGGUUCUCAGGCUCUGUGAUUCCUGAUUAUAUGUAAUUUUAUAGAAGAGAAAUAUUUCUUACCCAACAUUCCUCUCUCCAGAAGAAAUGGAAGAGGAUAAUGGAGGAGUCUUUCUUUGAUUUUCCAGACCUGCAGAGAGUUUUAUGGGAAAGGUGUGGGGGAGGGACUGGAGCCUUAUCCCAACCAAAAUGGUGCAUUUAGGAGGAAGAAGAUGCAGCCCAUGUGGUACAUGCCAUUUUUUUCUUUGGGGGCUUGAACAGUUUAUCUACUCACUUCUGAAGAAAUGGAAGGAGGGGAGCCAGCAUUCAUUCCUUCCGUGUCUAAAUUUGCUGUCUUCCAUUGAGUGUUGUCUUUUGCCUAGCCAUCCUGAAAUCUGAAAUGACAUUAAAAUGGAGCAACCCCUAGGAGAAAUGUGGCUGGGAAGGAUGUGCCUCACAUCUGUGGUGCCUUGCUAGGUUAUUGGGAAUGGUUGUGAAGACCAAGACUGAAUUUUCUUUUCAAUUUUCUUGUGCAUGUGUGAGAACUAAAGAAGCACCUGUUGCUCAUGUUCUUUUCUUCCAAAAAAAGCAAUUAAACUCCUGGGAUGGAACAUUGCAAUUCUUCAACAACACUGCUUUGAAAACCCAGUGACUGUUUGGACUGUGGUCUUGUGUCAUGAGUCACUGAUUUGGGUGUAUGCCUUUAGCUACUACCAGUGAGUGGAAUUAGUGAGAACUAGAAGGGAGAAUUAAAUAAAUAAAGUGAGUGUUUGCCA